rnacentral:rRNA from 1 species
GAUGAACGCUGGCGGCGUGCCUAAUACAUGCAAGUCGAGCGAACAGAUAAGGAGCUUGCUCCUUUGACGUUAGCGGCGGACGGGUGAGUAACACGUGGGUAACCUACCUAUAAGACUGGAAUAACUCCGGGAAACCGGGGCUAAUGCCGGAUAACAUUUAGAACCGCAUGGUUCUAAAGUGAAAGAUGGUUUUGCUAUCACUUAUAGAUGGUCCCGCGCCGUAUUAGCUAGUUGGUAAGGUAACGGCUUACCAAGGCAACGAUACGUAGCCGACCUGAGAGAGGGAUCGGCCACACUGGAACUGAGACACGGGCCAGACUCCGACGGGAGGCAGCAGUAGGGAAUCUUCGGCAAUGGGCGAAAGCCUGACGGAGCAACGCCGCGUGAGUGAUGAAGGUCUUCGGAUCGUAAAGCUCUGUUAUUAGGGAAGAACAAAUGUGUAAGUAACUGUGCACGUCUUGACGGUACCUAAGCAGAAAGCCACGGCUAACUACGUG